rnacentral:rRNA from 1 species
CGCCAGACUCCUACGGGAGGCAGCAGUGGGGAAUAUUGCACAAUGGGGGAAACCCUGAUGCAGCGACGCCGCGUGAGCGAUGAAGUAUUUCGGUAUGUAAAGCUCUAUCAGCAGGGAAGAAAAUGACGGUACCUGACUAAGAAGCCCCGGCUAACUACGUGCCAGCAGCCGCGGUAAUACGUAGGGGGCAAGCGUUAUCCGGAUUUACUGGGUGUAAAGGGGGCGCAGACGGCGAUGCAAGCCAGGAGUGAAAGCCCGGGGCCCAACCCCGGGACUGCUCUUGGAACUGCGUGGCUGGAGUGCAGGAGGGGCAGGCGGAAUUCCUGGUGUAGCGGUGAAAUGCGUAGAUAUCAGGAGGAACACCGGUGGCGAAGGCGGCCUGCUGGACUGCAACUGACGUUGAGGCCCGAAAGCGUGGGGAGCAAACAGGAUUAGAUACCCUCGUAA